rnacentral:lncRNA from 1 species
GAACUUUGAACUGAUCUCGGCACAUCCUAACUACAUCUACAUAAAAUGUACUCUACAUAUUAUACAAUAUGUCAUGUAAUCAUGAAUCAUACUAGCAAUCAUAUAAUCAUGCCAAAAAUUAAAUAAGGGUGUAAUUGAAGUUAUAACAUAUGACAAGCAUAUCCAAGAAAUACAACUAACCCUAAUCAUAUUAGGCAUGCAUAACACCC